CCACGGCGUGCGCACUGCUGCUCGGGCAUAGUGCCGUGCGAGCACCCCUGCUCCGGCCUAGGUGCAGGCCGACCCAAGGAAGCUAGCUGUCGCCUGUCUUCAUGGUUAUGAUCCAAUUUGACAUGAAGGCAUCGAGCUGGGUCGACGUUAGACGGAUUCAAGGCUGCCCGCUGUUUAGGAUCGACAGCUUUGUGAGCUCUAUGCUGCCGCAGGGAUCUCGAUGCCGCUGUCCAGGCCCUCGUCAACUUC